AUUGAACGCUGGCGGCAGGCUUAACACAUGCAAGUCGAGCGGGGGAAGGUAGCUUGCUACCGGACCUAGCGGCGGACGGGUGGGUAAUGCUUAGGAAUCUGCCUAUUAGUGGGGGACAACAUCUCGAAAGGGAUGCUAAUACCGCAUACGUCCUACGGGAGAAAGCAGGGGAUCUUCGGACCUUGCGCUAAUAGAUGAGCCUAAGUCGGAUUAGCUAGUGGGUGGGGUAAAGGCCUACCAAGGCGACGAUCUGUAGCGGGUCUGGGAGGAUGAGCCGCCACACUGGGAAUGAGAAACGGCCCAGACUCCUACGGGAGGCAGCAGUGGGGAAUAUUGGCCAAUGGGGGGAACCCUGAUCCAGCCAUGCCGCGUGUGUGAAGAAGGCCUUAUGGUUGUAAAGCACUUUAAGCGAGGAGGAGGCUACUUUAGUUAAUACCUAGAGAUAGUGGACGUUACUCGCAGAAUAAGCACCGGCUAACUCUGUGCCAGCCGCCGCCGUAA
rnacentral:rRNA from 1 species